rnacentral:lncRNA from 1 species
CAUGGGGAGACCGUUGUGAGCAAAGGGAGCAGGAGGGCAGGUACCUUGGAGUUGACAGCCAUGUGCUCAGAGGAGAAUGAAGCAAACCAACCAAAAGCCAACCCCAAACACCCAAUGGCCUGAGCUCCUCAGAGCAAGAAAAGUCAAGUUGAAUAUCUCAGAUGGGGCCGUCAGAGAAUGGAGAUGACCUCAUCCACAGUGGGACAAGUUGGAGCAAAUCACUUGGAUGGAAAGCAAGGAAAUAGAGGGGCAAUUUCAGCAUGUCCCUCAGGCUUCCACAGAGGAAGGUUUGGCCUUCCAAAUUCCCAAAGGGCUUCUCUCCUGGGACGCACUGUCUCUGCAGAGGUGAAAACACUCUUUCUUGUCUCUCUCUGCCUGGGAUCUUAAUUGUUUCCAGUGUCAAAUGAAGGACUGAGGAAAGAACCAAAGCUUCCCCAGUUCACUAACUGCUCUGGGAUUUACCCAGAAUUUUGACAGCAUUGAGAUUUGGAGUUGGCUUAGAAGAAGAGAAGAAGGGAAGUGGAGGUGCUGAGAGCUGGUCUGGAGUUAGCCCUGCUUCAGCCACAUUCACUUCCCUUUGUCUCUCAUGACCGGGCAAUGCAG